CUUUAACGCUCGAGUUGAGUCUCAAGCUGAAGCCCUCUAUUUUCAACAGCAAGCCAGAUCUCUUAACCUUCAUUAUAUUCAGGGAUUUAUGAGCAGGAAACAGAUGCGCCGGCAAAACGUGGAGGUUGAGAAACCGAUGCGGUGCAAACAUGGAGGACGUAACGCGGAGAGGAAGAGGAAGACGAAGCGCGACCGGUCCUGACGGGUGACGUCCAGUCAGAUGCACCUGUAUAAUAUGAGAGAACAGUAUCCCCACCUCAAAAGGACAAUUUAUACAACUUUACAGCGCAAACAACACAUUUUUGACUUCACAGUUUUUCUACUUUGCAGCAUUGCAACCCUCAGGAAUGUCUUGCUCCACAGACAUCCAUUGUAAGUGCAUUAUUGUAAAUGUUGUAGUACAUUUUUGUUAGUUUUUUUGCUGGUAGGGUCAAGUUGCUUUAUCAAACAGAGAGUCAAGAGAAAAUUAUUUUCUAAUAAAUUGAUAUUGGUAAUCAACAGUCAUAUCUUAACCUGUUUUGAGACGAGAAGUUUUGAUCUGAAAAUGUAGUUUUUGGUUUGUUUGGUCCUUAUAAAAGCAUAGAAUCUAAAUAAAAUAGAUUUCUAGGCAAAAUAUAUUAGUCUGUCCCAAACAACUGACCUUCUGAAAACCAGAAACCUGAUUUGAGUGGCUCUUGCCGGUGCAAAACCCGCUCCUAUGAUGCUUGAGUGUUGGGAGUAGUCUUAUACUGUAUGUAGAUGCCACAUUUGACUGCUCCAGUCACACUGAUGUGUCUUGAAACAUCAACAUGUCGUUUUUCAAGAUGUCACAACACUGCACAGCCCUUGGUUGUAAAAACAGCUGAAAUUAAACAGGUCAUGAACUGCCUUCUUUAUUAUUUGUACUGUUCUCUGAGGUCCACUUAAAAUUUUAUCAAGAUUUUUACAUCAAAAAACAUCUUUAUUUAGAAGCUAUUUUCUGUCCUGUAUUGACCCCCCUCAUCAGAACGCUCUGUUUGAGUAGGUGUGGUAAGUUCUAGACUCGGAAGUAAAUGCCCACUGCUAUGAUUGGCUAA